rnacentral:rRNA from 1 species
UACGGGGGGGGCAAGCGUUGUUCGGAAUUACUGGGCGUAAAGGGCUCGUAGGCGGCCAACUAAGUCCGACGUGAAAUCCCCAGGCUUAACCUGGGAACUGCGUCGGAUACUGGAUGGCUUGAAUUCGGGAGAGGGAUGCAGAAUUCCAGGUGUAGCGGUGAAAUGCGUAGAUAUCUGGAGGAAUACCGGUGGCGAAGGCGGCAUCCUGGACCGACAUUGACGCUGAUGAGCGAAAGCUAGGGGAGCGAACGGG